CCACGGAUAGCUCAGUUUGGUUAGAGCAUCAGAUGUGUAAUCUGACUGUCGAAGGUUCGAUUCCUUCUCCAACGGCCU
rnacentral:tRNA from 6 species